CAGUGUUCUAGUAUCUACCGGUGAAGCCCCGAAAUCAAGCGCCGCGCUCCGAAUUCAAGCAUUAGCAAGCUACCCCCAAAUCCCUUGCCGCACCAGCCGCUUCCGUCUCUCUCCUCCGGUUUCCCGUGGACGUAUCGGGUCUGGUGUUGCUCAUCCCCACCCCAUGAGGUUGAGCACUACCUCAUCGCGGAAGAAGUCCCACGGAUCUGGAGGUCUGGUGCUGGAGCGGUCCAAAACAGCAACCCUAGUGCUGGCCUGCUGGGGACCUAUCCGACGACCCAAGCGACUCGUGUUACGUGUAGCUUGGUAGAAUCGAGGGUCCCCCGCAAAACUUAUUAAGCUAAACAAGCUUUUAGCUAAGCCUCAAAUGUAUUAUAUAGACUAAGUUCACUACACUUUUUAUUUUAAGUUGCAGUAUGAUCCAUUACUGUGUUCCCUAACUGAUCAAAGUUGCCCAUACACUUUAAUUAAGUUUGCUUAGCUCUACUAGUUAAGUUUCUUAUUGAAAUAUGUUCAGUUGCUGACUAUCCAUGGAGUAUUUUUCGGAGGGGUAGUUUUUGAAUGUUCUGUUAUUAGUUUGUGUGUUUCCAGUCUGACCCAAGUUGUUUAUUCAAUUGUACUUAACUUACGUACUAGUGUACUACUACUCUUCAAUUAAAGUUGCUCAUAAACUUCAAUUAA